ACAUUUUUGUUGUGAAACUUUCUAUUUCGUAAGGAGUUGUGAACAUGAAAUAAUGACAGACUGGUUACACCAUCUCAUCUGCCGCAGAUACAGUAUCAGGAGGACAGCGCGUUUGUUUGAAGCACUUUUCACUUCAACUGUGUCUGACAGGAGAAUGAGCUUUUCUGAGCCUACUAGCCGUUGAGAGUUACCAUGGCAACCGCGGACACAUCAGCUGCUGGAGAGGAGAGGACUCAUCUGACAGUUUCUCUGUUUCUUGUCAGUUAUACCAAAGAAAAGUUCAACAACUGUGACAGAUUGUGAUUUCAGGAGUGUCUUAAAAACCCUCUAAAACAGAGGGGAAGUUCCAAGAAAAUUUCUAAUGGGAGCUGCUGACAGAGAUAGAAAACACAGUUUGUUUAUUUCUAAUAAGGAGCUGGAGGCUGUGGAGAAGCAGAUCCGUGACCUUGUGGAGAAGCAGGCCCAGCUGAGAGAGCAGAGAGCCGUGCUGGAAACAUUCAGGGGUUGACGCUCAUAAGUCAGGGUG